rnacentral:rRNA from 1 species
GACGAACCGUGCAAACGUUGUUCGGAAUCACUGGGCUUAAAGGGCGCGUAGGCGGUCGACCAAGUCCGGGGUGAAAUCUUCCGGCUUAACCGGAAAAGUGCCUUGGAUACUGGUCGGCUGGAGGGAGGUAGGGGCAGGUGGAACUUCCAGUGGAGCGGUGAAAUGCGUUGAUAUUGGAAGGAACGCCGGUGGCGAAAGCGACCUGCUGGACCUUUUCUGACGCUGAGGCGCGAAAGCUAGGGGAGCAAACGGG